GCUUACGGCCAUACCAGUCUGAAAGUGCCUGAUCUGAAUCAAGAUCUCAAGUCAUGCAGACUUGGAAGCACAGUUAGUACUUGUAUGGGAGACUAACUAGGAACCUCAGGUGGCGUAAGCU